rnacentral:rRNA from 1 species
GACGAACGCUGGCGGCGUGCUUAACACAUGCAAGUCGAACGAUGAAGCUAGAGCUUGCUCUGGUGGAUUAGUGGCGAACGGGUGAGUAACACGUGAGUAACCUGCCCCGAACUCUGGGAUAACUGCUGGAAACGGUAGCUAAUACUGGAUACGACCAACGAAGGCAUCUUCUGUUGGUGGAAAGAAUUUCGGUUCGGGAUGGACUCUCGGCCUAUCAGCUAGUUGGUGAGGUAAAGGCUCACCAAGGCGACGACGGGUAGCCGGCCUGGGAGGGGGACCGGCCACACUGGGACGGGAAUACGGCCCAGACUCCUACGGGAGGCAGCAGUGGGGAAUAUUGCACAAUGGGCGCAAGCCUGAUGCAGCGACGCCGCGUGAGGGAUGACGGCCUUCGGGUUGUAAACCUCUUUCAGCACCGACGAAGCGCAAGUGACGGUAGGUGCAGAAGAAGGACCGGCCAACUACGUGCCAGCAGCCGCCGUAA